CGCAGCUUGAGGGGGCAGCAGGGAGAGCUCCAGCUGAUCUCUGAGGCCCUUGAAGGAAUGGCUAAUGACAUCAGCGUCAGCGUUGGAAGCCUGGCAAUUCAGUCAUUGUGCAUACUGAAGGCAGAAGACCAGGCUCCCAUCCCAAUGUUCCAGAGGCUGCGAGAUCAGCUGCGCCGGGCAUGGAAGACACGACCUCGUCUGUCGCGGCUCGGCUGUCUGGGCUGCUGGGGCUCUGUGGAGGGCUGAUCCAGGAGGCUGUCUUUGCUGGGGCCUCCUGAGCCAGCAGGGAUUUUUUUUUCUUCAAAAUUGCUCUUUCCUUCGUUGUGUUUUCCUUUAGUAUGUAAAUAUAGGCUGUAUUAUAAU